UCCCACUGAGGAAACAUGCACACGUCUUGCCUCCUGUCCUAGGCCCAGAGCCUGCAAAGGGGAACCCAGAGGACUGGCUAGGGAAGAAGAGGAAAGUUUGUUGUAGAAGGAACUGUCUAAGGGAU